AUUGAACGCUGGCGGCAUGCCUUACACAUGCAAGUCGAACGGCAGCGGGGACUUCGGUCCGCCGGCGAGUGGCGAACGGGUGAGUAAUGUAUCGGAACGUACCUUUCAGUGGGGGAUAACGUAGCGAAAGUUACGCUAAUACCGCAUAUUCUCUGAGGAGGAAAGCAGGGGACCUUCGGGCCUUGCGCUGAUGGAGCGGCCGAUAUCAGAUUAGCUAGUUGGUGGGGUAAAGGCUCACCAAGGCUACGAUCUGUAGCGGGUCUGAGAGGAUGAUCCGCCACACUGGGACUGAGACACGGCCCAGACCCCUACGGGAGGCAGCAGUGGGGAAUUUUGGACAAUGGGCGAAAGCCUGAUCCAGCCAUGCCGCGUGAGUGAAGAAGGCCUUCGGGUUGUAAAGCUCUUUCGGACGGGAAGAAAUCAUGAGGGCUAAUAUCCCUUGUGGAUGACGGUACCGUAAUAAGAAGCACCGGCUAACUACGUGCCAGCCGCCGCAGUAA
rnacentral:rRNA from 1 species